rnacentral:rRNA from 1 species
AUUGAACGCUGGCGGCAGGCUUAACACAUGCAAGUCGAGCGGGGUGAUGGUGCUUGCACUAUCACUUAGCGGCGGACGGGUGAGUAAUGCUUAGGAAUCUGCCUAUUAGUGGGGGACAACAUCUCGAAAGGGAUGCUAAUACCGCAUACGUCCUACGGGAGAAAGCAGGGGAUCACUUGUGACCUUGCGCUAAUAGAUGAGCCUAAGUCGGAUUAGCUAGUUGGUGGGGUAAAGGCCUACCAGGGCGGCGAUCUGUAGCGGGUCUGAGAGGAUGAUCCGCCACACUGGGACUGAGACACGGCCCAGACUCCUACGGGAGGCAGCAGUGGGGAAUAUUGGACAAUGGGGGGAACCCUGAUCCAGCCAUGCCGCGUGUGUGAAGAAGGCCUUAUGGCUGUAAAGCACUUUAAGCGAGGAGGAGGCUCUUUUGGUUAAUACCCAAGAUGAGUGGACGUUACUCGCAGAAUAAGCACCGGCUAACUCUGUGCCAGCCGCCGCCGUAAAAC